rnacentral:rRNA from 1 species
AUUGAACGCUGGCGGCAGGCCUAACACAUGCAAGUCGAACGGUAACAGGAAGAAGCUUGCUUCUUUGCUGACGAGUGGCGGACGGGUGAGUAAUGUCUGGGAAACUGCCUGAUGGAGGGGGAUAACUACUGGAAACGGUAGCUAAUACCGCAUAACGUCGCAAGACCAAAGAGGGGGACCUUCGGGCCUCUUGCCAUCGGAUGUGCCCAGAUGGGAUUAGCUAGUAGGUGGGGUUACGGCUCACCUGGGGGAGGAUCCCUAGCUGGUCUGGGAGGAUGACCAGCCACACUGGAACUGAGACACGGUCCAGACUCCUACGGGAGGCAGCAGUGGGGAAUAUUGCACAAUGGGCGCAAGCCUGAUGCAGCCAUGCCGCGUGUAUGAAGAAGGCCUUCGGGUUGUAAAGUACUUUCAGCGGGGAGGAAGGGAGUAAAGUUAAUACCUUUGCUCAUUGACGUUACCCGCAGAAGAAGCACCGGCUAACUCCGUG